CCCUUAGAUGUUCUGGGCCGCACGCGCGCUACACUGACGAAUGCAACGAGCUUAUAACCUUGGCCGAAAGGUCUGGGUAAUCUCCAAAUUUCGUCGUGAUGGGGAUAUAUUAUUGCAAUUAUUAAUCUUCAACGAGGAAUGCCUAGUAAGCGCAAGUCAUCAGCUUGCGUUGAUUACGUCCCUGCCCUUUGUACACACCGCCCGUCGCUCCUACCGAUUGAAUGGUCCGGUGAAGCGUUCGGACCGUGGCCUUUGGACGGUUCGCCGUCUGUUGGCUGCGGGAAGUUCGUUAAACCUUAUCAUUUAGAGGAAGGAGAAGUCGUAACA
rnacentral:rRNA from 1 species